CGAUUAGUCGGUGUUAAUAUACGACCCGACUAGCAGCUUCCGGGAAACCAAAGUUUUUCGUUUCCGGGGGAAGUAUGGUUGCAAAGCUGAAACUUAAAGGAAUUGACGGAAGGGCACCACCAGGAGUGGAGCCUGCGGCUUAAUUUGACUCAACACGGGAAAACUCACCCGGCCCGGACACCGUAAGGAUUGACAGACUGAGAGCUCUUUCUUAAUUCGGUGGGUGGUGGUGCAUGGCCGUUCUUAGUUGGUGGAGCGAUUUGUCUGGUUAAUUCCGAUAACGAACGAGACUCUGGCCUAUUAAAUAGUCGGUAUAUCCAGAAAAGUUUACCGUACUUCUUAGAGGGACAGACGGCGUCUAGCCGCGUGAAAUAGAGCAAUAACAGGUCUGUGAUGCCCUUAGAUGUCCAGGGCUGCACGCGCGCUACACUGGAGGAAUCAGCGUGCUGUAACCAUUGCCGAAAGGCAUUGGUAACCCCUUGAAAAUCCUCCGUGAUCGGGAUCGGGAAUUGCAAUUAUUUCCCUUGAACGAGGAAUUCCUAGUAAGUGUGAGUCAUCAGCUCACGUUGAUUACGUCCCUGCCCUUUGUACACACCGCCCGUCGCUACUACCGAUUGGAUGACUUAAUGAGGUCUUAGGACCGACGUAAAGGAGCUUUCGCG
rnacentral:rRNA from 1 species